UACAGAGGUCUCAAGCGUUGUUCGGAUUCAUUGGGCGUAAAGGGUGUGUAGGUGGCGCCGUAAGUCGGGUGUGAAAUUUCGAGGCUUAACCUCGAAACUGCACUCGAUACUGCUCUGCUUGAGGACUGGAGAGGAGACUGGAAUUCACGGUGUAGCAGUGAAAUGCGUAGAUAUCGUGAGGAAGACCAGUGGCGAAGGCGGGUCUCUGGACAGUUCCUGACGCUGAGGCGCGAAGGCCAGGGGAGCAAACGGG
rnacentral:rRNA from 1 species